rnacentral:rRNA from 1 species
GCGACCGUGACUGCAGGAGGUCA